CGGUUGCUACCGGGAUGUAGGAAUCUCCAGGCGGGGCGAGAGCAUCCAAGCCGGCUGGGAGCUGUGGAGCAGUAAACAGAGCGGUGGCAUCCAUCUCGGCUUCAGCAGAGUCCACGGCGAUGACAUCCAGGUGAAGGGAAAUUGCUGGUAAGAAUUCAAAGAGUUCUGGACUUCUUCUUGGACUAAACUAUGUGGAUAACAUGACCUGGAUGAAGGAGAAUCUUCACAGACACGCUGGUAAGAAUUAUUAUUUUUAUUAUUAAAUAAUUUUGAUGAAUUUAAAAGCGUUUCACUUAAUAUCCAACUUCAAAUAUUUAAGAAUGUUUUUGAUCAGAAAAUACUAAAAUAUAUAUUAUUUAAAUGUGUCGUUGUCACCAAAGCUGUCAUUUGAGUGAGUCAGAUUCAUGGAGGAACAUUCAAACAGGACAAGACUAAAGCUAAAAAAAAAAAAAAACAAGAGAAGAAGAACAAGAACUUUCUGUGCUUUUAGUUGUAUCUGUUGUGCUCUAUUCCCUGUUGUCUUUUGUUUUGGAACCAGGAGAAAACAUUAAACCCUAAACACUGACCGACGUGCUCUGAAAAGUUGGCUGCAACCCAUCCUGAGUUUCUCAACGUUUUGGCCUCUCACGGAGCCUCAAGCCUCCACUGAGUCCAGCGAGGUCUUCACAGGCACCAGGGUCAGAACUGAAGGACGACGUGACCGACACCGGGCGAUCGACAGAAGAGAACAGGAAGUUCACCUCUCUUGAAGUCCAGCAGGAACCAGCGGUAGCAGAAGUAGAAACUAAAGACGUUAUCUGUCACCUGGAUCAGUGACCUCAUGUUGGCAAAGUGUGUGUCCAUGGCUCCACCGUUAGGGAAGUUCUGACUCAUCCUCUUCAUUAGCUGAGUGAAGCAGCUGUCCAUGUACAGGACACAACAACAACAACAACAACAACAACAACAGGAGGAGCAGAGACUGUUUGUUCUCACCAUCAUCCAGGAUGACCAUGAGCGGAGCCAGCAGGUCACACAUGCCCUGAACGUAGCCCAUUUCUAGGUGUUCCCACACAUAACUCACAAGCUGCAUCUUUCUUCAAUGCAACCAUGGCUGUGCUGCUGCACCUCUCUACACUGCCCCCUUGUGGAAAAACAGCACAGCAACUGAAAGGGAUGGUGACGUCCCCUCUGCAGACGCCCCGUUUGUCACCAGUUUGUCCAGCUGGCUACACAGCCUCUCUUCAGUCAACGAGUCCUGACGCUCCGUGCGAACACUGGGAGUCCUGGUCUCCUCCCCGCCGCCCCCUU